rfam:Edwardsiella ictaluri 93-146, complete genome.
GCGAGGUACAGUUCUGUCUAUGUGUGGCAUUUUCAGUAAAGAAGUUCCGAGUAAAAACGUUUGCGUUGCUUACUACUUCUCUGCCGAACCUUAUCUUAGUGCCUCAAGCAGUAACGACUCUAGUUUGUUUGUGUAACGCCUUCGGGCGGUUUAAUCAAUAGUAAGGAAAUAUGUAAGAUGGCUAAGAUCAAAGGUCAAGUGAAGUGGUUCAACGAAGCGAAGGGUUUCGGUUUCAUCACCCCGGCUGACGGCAGCAAGGACGUGUUCGUUCACUUCUCUGCAAUCCAGGGCAACGGUUUCAAAACUCUGGCUGAAGGUCAGCACGUAGAGUUCGAAAUCCAGGAUGGCCAGAAAGGUCCGUCUGCUGUUAACGUAACUGCUAUCUAAGUUAGCUGCGUUAGUGGUUAAAAAACCCGCCGACGGCGGGUUUUUUUAU